UACGUAGGGUGCGAGCGUUGUCCGGAAUUAUUGGGCGUAAAGAGCUCGUAGCGGUUUGUCACGUCUGCUGUGAAAUCCCGAGGCUCAACCUCGGGCCUGCAGUGGGUACGGGCAGACUGGAGUGCGGUAGGGGAGAAUGGAAUUCCUGGUGUAGCGGUGGAAUGCGCAGAUAUCAGGAGGAACACCGAGUGCGAAGGCGGUCUCUGGGCCGACUGACGCUGAGGAGCGAAAGCGUGGGGAGCGAACAGG
rnacentral:rRNA from 1 species